UUAAGCGACUAAGCGUACACGGUGGAUGCCCUGGCAGUCAGAGGCGAUGAAGGACGUGCUAAUCUGCGAUAAGCGUCGGUAAGGUGAUAUGAACCGUUAUAACCGGCGAUUUCCGAAUGGGGAAACCCAGUGUGAUUCGUCACACUAUCAUUAACUGAAUCCAUAGGUUAAUGAGGCGAACCGGGGGAACUGAAACAUCUAAGUACCCCGAGGAAAAGAAAUCAACCGAGAUUCCCCCAGUAGCGGCGAGCGAACGGGGAGGAGCCCAGAGCCUGAAUCAGUAUGUGUGUUAGUGGAAGCGUCUGGAAAGGCGUGCGAUACAGGGUGACAGCCCCGUACACAAAAAUGCACAUGCUGUGAGCUCGAUGAGUAGGGCGGGACACGUGGUAUCCUGUCUGAAUAUGGGGGGACCAUCCUCCAAGGCUAAAUACUCCUGACUGACCGAUAGUGAACCAGUACCGUGAGGGAAAGGCGAAAAGAACCCCGGCGAGGGGAGUGAAAAAGAACCUGAAACCGUGUACGUACAAGCAGUGGGAGCCUCUUUAAUGGGGUGACUGCGUACCUUUUGUAUAAUGGGUCAGCGACUUAUAUUCUGUAGCAAGGUUAACCGAAUAGGGGAGCCGAAGGGAAACCGAGUCUUAACUGGGCGUUAAGUUGCAGGGUAUAGACCCGAAACCCGGUGAUCUAGCCAUGGGCAGGUUGAAGGUUGGGUAACACUAACUGGAGGACCGAACCGACUAAUGUUGAAAAAUUAGCGGAUGACUUGUGGCUGGGGGUGAAAGGCCAAUCAAACCGGGAGAUAGCUGGUUCUCCCCGAAAGCUAUUUAGGUAGCGCCUCGUGAAUUCAUCUCCGGGGGUAGAGCACUGUUUCGGCAAGGGGGUCAUCCCGACUUACCAACCCGAUGCAAACUGCGAAUACCGGAGAAUGUUAUCACGGGAGACACACGGCGGGUGCUAACGUCCGUCGUGAAGAGGGAAACAACCCAGACCGCCAGCUAAGGUCCCAAAGUCAUGGUUAAGUGGGAAACGAUGUGGGAAGGCCCAGACAGCCAGGAUGUUGGCUUAGAAGCAGCCAUCAUUUAAAGAAAGCGUAAUAGCUCACUGGUCGAGUCGGCCUGCGCGGAAGAUGUAACGGGGCUAAACCAUGCACCGAAGCUGCGGCAGCGACACUAUGUGUUGUUGGGUAGGGGAGCGUUCUGUAAGCCGUUGAAGGUGUGCUGUGAGGCAUGCUGGAGGUAUCAGAAGUGCGAAUGCUGACAUAAGUAACGAUAAAGCGGGUGAAAAGCCCGCUCGCCGGAAGACCAAGGGUUCCUGUCCAACGUUAAUCGGGGCAGGGUGAGUCGACCCCUAAGGCGAGGCCGAAAGGCGUAGUCGAUGGGAAACAGGUUAAUAUUCCUGUACUUGGUGUUACUGCGAAGGGGGGACGGAGAAGGCUAUGUUGGCCGGGCGACGGUUGUCCCGGUUUAAGCGUGUAGGCUGAUUUUCCAGGCAAAUCCGGAGAAUCAAGGCUGAGGCGUGAUGACGAGGCACUACGGUGCUGAAGCAACAAAUGCCCUGCUUCCAGGAAAAGCCUCUAAGCAUCAGGUAACAUCAAAUCGUACCCCAAACCGACACAGGUGGUCAGGUAGAGAAUACCAAGGCGCUUGAGAGAACUCGGGUGAAGGAACUAGGCAAAAUGGUGCCGUAACUUCGGGAGAAGGCACGCUGAUAUGUAGGUGAAGCGACUUGCUCGUGGAGCUGAAAUCAGUCGAAGAUACCAGCUGGCUGCAACUGUUUAUUAAAAACACAGCACUGUGCAAACACGAAAGUGGACGUAUACGGUGUGACGCCUGCCCGGUGCCGGAAGGUUAAUUGAUGGGGUCAGCCGCAAGGCGAAGCUCUUGAUCGAAGCCCCGGUAAACGGCGGCCGUAACUAUAACGGUCCUAAGGUAGCGAAAUUCCUUGUCGGGUAAGUUCCGACC
rnacentral:rRNA from 1 species